rnacentral:pre_miRNA from 1 species
ACAACAUUCGGACCGACGGUCUACCGAGCAAAUAUCACCCGCUCAAUGGAAGAUCUUUUUUUUUUUUU